UUUUAGCCCACAAUGCCCUCCAUGUUUCUUUUCUUUCUUUCUUUUUUUUUUUUUCCCACAGAAAUUGCUGUAGCAAGUGUAGACAUUCAGCCCAUGUUAACUUUGGGCCACUUUGUCUGCUUUUGUGUCUUCUCUGCUCAGUAACAAGGAGAUUCAUUUGUGCUCUGAAUUUUGGUAUUCUGUCCAAUUCUUGGAGGAUUUCUCUGGGGAAUGGAGAACACACUCUCCCAGCACUUUUCUCCAUUUGCCUUACAAGGGCCACUUAAUCUACAUCACUGACUCCAAGUCUCAUUUGAAACGAGACACAUCCUAUGGGGCUGGAGCAAGCACGGUAGAUUGCUUAGUGCUUCAGUAAAUGACAGGAUUUCCAUAGGAUUAUAAAUCCACUUCUGGAAACAAGUAUUUGACAAACAGAUGAUUGCUCUUACCUCCAAGCAUUCCUUGGUGUUAGAGAAGAGAGACAAUUCCUAUUGUAUUUUGUGUGUGUUGGGGUGUGGAGAACCCUGUUUCUUCCCUUCAUCUUGUGGGUACCACAGGCCUAUGGUCCCCAGGGAUUGAACCCAGGUAGACUUGAUAGCAAGUACCUCUACACUCUGAGUCAUCUUUCUAGGCCCAAAUCACAUAUUUUUUUCAAUUGUUUUUAUUAGAUAUUUUCUUCAUUUACAUUUCAAAUGCUAUCCUGAAAGUCCCCUAUACCCUCCCCCCUCCCCGCCCUGCUCCUCAACCCAGCCACUCCCAUCCCUGGCCCUGGGAUUCCCCUGUACUGGGGCAUAUGAUCUUCGCAAGACCAAGGGCCUCUCCUCCCAUUGACUAGGCCAUCCUCUGAUACAUAUACAACUAGAGACACAGUUCUCUGGGGUACUGGUUAGUUCAUAUUGUUGAUCCUCCUAUAGGAUUGCCGACCCCUUUAGCUCCUUGGUUACUUUCUCUAGCUCCUUCUUUAGGGGCCCUGUGUUCCAUCCAAUAGAUGAUUUUAAAGUUGAAAAUCAUGAUAUCUGGUGUAGAAGUUUUACUAUCUUAAAGGCAACAAUAAAAUCUAGGAGCCUAAGGAGGAGUAAUGCAACAUACAGGUUGUCUUAGUAUUUGCAAGUGAGAAGAAAACUCACUCACAGAACCAGAGGUUUGGAGAGAUCUCUUGUCAGAUAUGUAUAGAGAAAAGAUCUUCCUUCACAUGACUGAGGAGUAAGAAAACUGUAGGAAAGUAUUUCAAAAUUCAUCAAUUUGCUUUAUCUUGAUAGCCUAAGGUUAACAUUCCCUUUCAAGUGGCAUUGGGUCUACAAAUUCAUGGUAAUUUUAAAUUUAUGAAUGUUACUUUUUAAAAUGAAAUAAUCCUCCCUAAUAUUGAGAAACAGGAGGUUUUUGCCGAUGUCUCUCAAAGCACGUAUGGCACAGUUAAGAGUUUAUUUUUACUACACUGGUGUGUUGUCAUGCUCUGUCCUUUGGAGAAAAUGCUAUUCUUGUUCGUUAUUAAUUACACAUUUGUUUUGGAUGCCAGAGUGCUUUCUAUGAAUAAAUCCUGUACCAUUCUGAUCUCACACAACAAUAAUUGUCUUACUGUUGUGAAGUAGAUGCAGCAGAGAAAGACAAAGGAAAGAUCUCCCUCUGGCUUGUGGAAAAGAUUGCUUAAGGGAAAGACAGUCAGUAGCUGGACUCUCAGAAUCAAAGUUCUGCUAGAUUUACUCAUGGAGGGAAAGCGCAGACAGAGGCCAAGAGAUCCCUCCAUGGCCAUUCAGAAUGAUGUCUUUGUAAAUACAGAAAACAGUAGCUAGUAGGUAAGGAUAAUGAUUCCUCUUGCCUGGGAUAAAGAGAAGAGAACAGAAGAUGGGGAUUUCGAAGGAAGUCGCUGAGAAAGUUCUCAAGGCUAUUUAUACGGUGGAUUUGCUAGCAAGGGAAAAUUUUUCUUUUUGGGUAAUCAAGAGUCGACUUUCUUAUCAAUUCUUGUAUUUCAUGGGAAAAUGGUUGCUUAGCAAAUGUUUGCUUUUGAAUAAAGGGAUUUGGCGGGUUGUGCUUAAUAAUGCCAAAUUGUGUGAUGCUUGAAGCUCACCUUAUUUUUGUUGUUUCCUAUUCACUAAGGAUCAACAUGAAAUUCCAAUUUAACUCUAAACUUAAGUCCCCAAAUGGUUUUCUGUGAUGCUAGUUUAUAUGCCUUGUGCAUGGAACCUUCAUCUUACACUUGCAAGUGUCGUUUACGGGAGACACAAAUGCCUAAUUAGGGGAAAACUUCAUGGCUUUAAUUUAGUUAAUUUUAGUUCUGGAGCAGAAAGUCACAAAUGAAAAUCUAAUGGCGCAAUUCUGGUGGUAGCUAAUAGGAAAGGCUUUCAUGUGAGAGGAGAGCAAUUUACUAAGUGUGGAGUUAAAGGGUAACUGAUAACAGCAUAGUCAAGGAGAGAGUGGCCUGAUGGCUUCAGAACAGCUCUGAAGGCUGUCCCUGUGCUUCCCUCUGGGGUGACAAUAAGCUCUUUUGUAUGAUAUGGUACACAGGCUUCUUUGGCACUGAAAGAAAAACGCAAAAACAAGC
rnacentral:lncRNA from 1 species